rnacentral:rRNA from 1 species
UAGUAACUGCGAGUGAAGCGGGAAAAGCUCAAAUUUAAAAUCUGGCAGUCAUUGGCUGUUCCGAGUUGUAAUCUAGAGAAGCAUUAUCCGCGUUGGACCGUGUACAAGUCUCCUGGAAUGGAGCGUCAUAGAGGGUGAGAAUCCCGUCUUUGACACGGACUGCCAGGGCUUUGUGAUGUGCUCUCAAAGAGUCGAGUUGUUUGGGAAUGCAGCUCAAAAUGGGUGGUAAAUUCCAUCUAAAGCUAAAUAUUGGCGAGAGACCGAUAGCGAACAAGUACCGUGAGGGAAAGAUGAAAAGAACUUUGGAAAGAGAGUUAAACAGUACGUGAAAUUGCUGAAAGGGAAACGCUUGAAGUCAGUCGCGUUGGCCAGGGAUCAACCUUGCUUUUUUUUGCUUGGCUUACUUCCUGGUUAAUGGGUCAGCAUCAAUUUUGACUGGUGGAAAAAGUUCAAGGGAAUGUGGCAUCUUCGGAUGUGUUAUAGCCUUUGCUCGCAUACAUCAGUUGGGAUUGAGGAACUCAGCACGCCGCAAGGCCGGGUUUUCAACCACGUACGUGCUUAGGAUGCUGGCAUAAUGGCUUUAAUCGACCCGUCUUGAAACACGGACCAAGGAGUCUAACAUGCCUGCGAGUGUUUGGGUGGAAAACCCGAGCGC